UGCCAGCCGCCGCGGUAACACGGGGGGCGCAAGCGUUAUUCGGAAUUAUUGGGCGUAAAGGGCGCGCAGGCGGUCUUGUCCGUCAGGUGUGAAAGCUCGGGGCUCAACCCCGGAAGUGCACUUGAAACAGCAAGACUUGAAUACGGUAGAGGAGAGAGGAAUUCCUGGUGUAGAGGUGAAAUUCGUAGAUAUUAGGAAGAACACCGGUGGCGAAGGCGACUCUCUGGUCCGAUACUGACGCUGAGGUGCGAAAGCGUGGGGAGCAAACAGGAUUAGAUA
rnacentral:rRNA from 1 species